AAAAUAUAUAAAAAGUGGAAGAGAAAUGCCUUCGUUUCAUAUAGUUUAAUAUCUUUUUAUAAAUAUAUACAUAUUAUAUGCAUGUCGUGAAAUCCAACCGGCUUUCGCUAAUUAAAUUAGCCUUUCAAGGGACAUUGUACAGUAAUCAGUUCUCGUGACAGAGGGGUUUCGGCAUUUGGAUGUU